rnacentral:misc_RNA from 1 species
GAUGAAGAACGUAGCGAAAUGCGAUAAGUAAUGUGAAUUGCAGAAUUCAGUGAAUCAUCGAAUCUUUGAACGCACAUUGCGCCCGCCAGCAUUCUGGCGGGCAUGCCUGUUCGAGCGUCAUUUCAACCCCUCAGGCCCUGGUGCCUGGCGUCGGGGCUCUCCCUCGCGGGAGGCCCCCAGAGACAGUGGCGGACCCGCCGCGGCUCCGAGCGCAGUAGUAAAAUAUCUCGCUUAGGAGGCCCGCGGAGGAGCUUUCCGGCCGUAAAACCAGGUCUGCAAAGACCGACCCCCCCAAGGUUGACCUCGGAUCAGGUAGGAAUACCCGCUGAACUUAAGCAUAUCAAUAAGCGGAGGA